rnacentral:rRNA from 1 species
AACGAACGCUGGCGGCAUGCCUAACACAUGCAAGUCGAACGAUGCUUUCGGGCAUAGUGGCGCACGGGUGCGUAACGCGUGGGAAUCUGCCCUUAGGUUCGGAAUAACCAUUGGAAACGAUGGCUAAUACCGGAUGAUGACGUAAGUCCAAAGAUUUAUCGCCUGAGGAUGAGCCCGCGUAGGAUUAGCUAGUUGGUGUGGUAAGAGCGCACCAAGGCGACGAUCCUUAGCUGGUCUGAGAGGAUGAUCAGCCACACUGGGACUGAGACACGGCCCAGACUCCUACGGGAGGCAGCAGUGGGGAAUAUUGGACAAUGGGCGCAAGCCUGAUCCAGCAAUGCCGCGUGAGUGAUGAAGGCCUUAGGGUUGUAAAGCUCUUUUACCCGGGAUGAUAAUGACAGUACCGGGAGAAUAAGCUCCGGCUAACUCCGUGCCAGCAGCCGCGGUAA